CCUCAGUUCAGGUGAGAUUACCGGCUGAAUUUAAGCAUAUUACUAAGCCGAGGAAAAGAAACUAACAAGGAUUCCCCUAGUAGCAGCGAGCGAACAGGGAAGAGCCCAGCGCUGAAUCCCCCGGGCCUCGCUCGGCGGGAAAUGUAGCGUUUGGGAAGGCCCGUCAACACGGCGACUCGCUCGCUGGUUCAAGUCCAACUUGAAUGGGGCCACACAGAGGGUGACAGGCCCGUAGAGCAGGAGCGGUUGUCGUGUGGGUCUCUCCUUAGAGUCGGUUUGCUUGAGAGUGCAGACUUAAGUGGGUGGUAAACUCCAUCUAAGGCUAAAUAUGACCACGAGACCGAUAGCACACAAGUACCGUGAGGGAAAGGUGAAAAGAACUUUGAAGAGAGAGUUCAAGAGUACGUGAAACUGAAGUGGUGUAAACGGACGAGUUCGAAAAGUCCGAAUGGUGAGAUUCAAGCUUACCGUGCCGGUGGCCCUCGGGUUCAGAUGGCGUCGUCAGCUCGGGCUUCGGUUCGGGUCAUACGGCGUCACUCGUCCUGGGGGUAUCUGUCUGGUGCGGUGGGCUGCACUUCUCGCCUAGUAGGACGUCGCGACCCGUUGGGAUGUUCCGUUCACUGGCCCUCGGUGGAGCCCGCGCCGGAGCGUGGCCUUGUGCCGCGUUGCUGUUUGCACGGACCCGGGGUGACCUGAUCGGCGCCCGACGGUAUCAAAGCUUGGGAAGAGGCCGCACAGAGGAUGCGUUCGAUGGCCGUUUCGGCCUACACUCGGACAGGCCUGCA
rnacentral:rRNA from 1 species